CCUAUGGACUACACACACACACACACACUCAUAUGUCCAGCUGUCUGUCCACCCAACUAACAAAAAAAACAAAUACAAAUACAAAUACAGAAAAAACGCAAAUACAAACACAAAACACAAAUACAAAUACAAAUACAAAGACAAGCCAGCAAAGAGCUAACCAGCGUACCAGGCCUCGACUACGGCUACGGCUACGACUACGGCCAUGGUCUCAGUCUUGUCCGCCGUACAACAGCUGGUUCAUUGUAUUGCAGUUAUUGUAUUUGAAUUGGACAACUAAUGUAAAUAAUACAUCACAUACCGUACGUGUCCCGGGAUUAUGUUGAAGUUUCAGUUUAACAGAUUUCGUAUUUAUUUGGCUUUUUAUUAACUUGACCAGCUCUGCAGGAGCGACUGAGCGAGGGAGAGAGAGAGAGACAGAGAGGGAGUGCUAGAACGAGAGGGAGAGAGAGAGAGACAGAGAGGGAGUGCUAGAACGAGAGGGAGACAUGCAACUGCGAAUUAAUUGGAUUUAUUUGAAUAUCAUGUUCGAUUUUUAUGUUGAGCGUAAGUCGAUUAUUACCUCUGUAUAUCGAUUGUUACUGUAAUGUAACCUCUAUGUUAACCUUUAUGUUAAGAUCGCUUCGGCUAAAAUACGCCGAGCAUUCUUAUGCCCUUGCAGUGAAUUGGGCAAACAUAAGGAAGUCCACCACACUGGGGUAUGCCCGAAUCGAGAAAUGAAGCUUUCAGCACGUGCUUAAUGCUGCCAGCGAGUGCACUGUUAAAGUCCGUGACGACUUAUCGAUGUUAUCGAUUCAUAGAAAAACGCAACUAUAUAAUUUAAAUUCUGUAAAUUCUAUAAAUUAUGCAAAAUAGACAAUGGGAGUUAUUUUCAGUUUCAUAUACUGACCUGACACGUGUAUAUUGUAUGAAUGGCGCUCUAUUACAUACCUCUAUCAAUAUUCGCCAUAUCAAUGCUCUCUCUAAAAACCUUUUCUUUUAGUUUUAUUAGCAUAGUUAAAGACACCGCCAAAUAUCAACUUGCAACUGAUUAUACUGCGAUCAGCACAGCCAAAUCUCUCAGUCGUAUCAUAGACAGUCUAAAAGCCGAGGAAACUGUGCCUGGCAGACCAUCCUCUAUGUUCUAUCAUCCUAAUCGGACUACGCUAUGGAGGCCCUUCCUUAAUUAGGCACUCUACUAUGCUCUGCCAUACCAUUUCAAGUUGUCUGGCGACAGCACAUAUACUCCUUUCGGCCAGUGGGCGGGUAUGCCAGAGUAAUCCCAUUCAGCACUGAUGCCAGGACUCGAUGGAUGAUAAGUACUUCGGUCUAUCCAUAUUCAGGCAUUAGAACUAAUCGACUUUCUAAUUGGAGUCCUGCGCUCGAUUUGGCCAAAUCCUUUAUAAUGUUGGAACGCCCCUAUGACCAUUUCGACUAAUCCGAUGUUUAUUUGGCCAUUGAUUAAUGUGCGGUGCCAGGGCGUCCGCAAAGGUCGUUGCCAGAAGUCUUCAAUCAUAGUUUGCUUGCUGUGUGUUGCCUUGCUGCUCGUUUCGGCUCUGCAUCAUCUUCAUAUAUUUCUUAUGCUUCUCAUUUUUUUUUUUUUUUUUUUUUUUUUUUUGCCCUUGUGUGGAUGAAAAUACUUCUGGGCUGUUAAGGGUUUAUUUAUGCAUAAAAUUUAUAGCAUAUAGCACGAGCAUAUUUGUGUCAUUAGCCGCAAAUUUUUGACCCAUUUGUCAUUAGGCUCGACUGUGGGGGAUUUGCAUAAAACAAACACACGAUUGCCUAGAACACACACACACACACACAUAUGAGAGCGUUGUAUGCGUGUGUGCGUGUGUGUUUGCUGUGCUGCUAAAUGUGUGACCGACAAGAUUUAUCAAGUAAUAACAGACAUUUCGGACAACCCAUAGACCCAUUAGUCACACGCUGUUUGACAUCGUCUGAAAAUAUCAUUUUAAUCACAGGCCAGCUAGCAGCUCCUGCUCCUGCUCCUGCUGCUGCUCCUGCUGCUGCUGCCAUUCCAUCUGCUUGCCUCUGAAUGGCCAUUGUCACGGUCCAUCGCCCGGAUGGCCAGACUGACAAUGACCCGCACACACAUGCUCACGUAUGUAAAUUAUAUAUCACAUGUGAGUUAUGCUACUGGAAUAGAGCAAGUGAAGGCGACUCGCUAUGCUGCCUACCUCGGCAUUCUUCUCAAGCAUCAAGCAUCGACAUCUAUCCACUGAUUAUCCAAUUGACCUUUCUCAAUUACUAAUGAAGACGUGCGACCGCACUCUGUGUUGACUCUCCCAUUUUAGGUUAGGUUAGGUUAGGUUACAAAAUCCUUUCCAAUAUAUUCAAGUCAUUCUAGGAAACGGCAAUGCCAUGAAAAUUAACUGCACCGAACUCUUUACAGCCAUUCAGGCCUCAUUGACUCAGAGGAGCAACAUAAUCGAAUCGGAAGGAAUAAAAAAAAAA